GCAACAUCAGGUUGCUUUCUGUGUUAGAUAUCUCCAACUCCAAGCUGCUGAGCUUGAAAUUCCUGAAAGUCCUCUGGGAUGGUGUCUGAAAACAACAAAAUAUGCAAAGGGCAUGUGAUCACCAUGGGCUGCAUUGAAAGCAGUGAUCAAUCCAGCAGGGAUCCUAUACUAUGCAAAACACAAUAAACUGACCAUCAAGCACUCAUCCAUCGACUCCAACACUCCACCAAAACAAGAAAGGUGCAUGGAGUUGACAGGAGAACGUCAGCUGCUGACUUACCACGGCGAAGAUACCAUGGGCACAGGUUACCAUCCCAUCAUUCUUGGAAACUAGGACUAAAGUAUUCGGUCUUAGAGAUACCUAAGAGCUGGUGACAAACAUCCUCUCUAAGGCAACGUCUACACUACAGCAUAUGUCAGCAUAACAUAUGUCGCUCAGGACUCUGAAUAAACACCCCUGAGCAAUGUAAUUUUCACUGGUGUGGACUGGACUCUCUUGGCGGAAGAGCUGCUGCUGCUUGUGGGGCAGGCGUAGUUAACCCGUGCCUUAACACACAGUACUUGCUGGGUGAGUUUAAAGAAUAACAGAGAUGUUAAGCGAAGAUCU